ACUUUUUUGGUGACUGAGUUUUUCUCCCUCUCUCCCCCUUUUCUUCUGCUUCUUUCUCCCUACUUUUGAUCCCCAGUCCCAAUUUAAACUUUGGAAAAUAGUCACCCUAGUUUGCCCACCGUGUUCUUUUUCGCUCAGUACAUAAACUCUCUGUUUGGGGCUGGGCUGGACCAUCACAGCUUCUACUGUUCUGCCGAUCGAGAGUUACGUCCCGUCAUGAAGUAGUUUCUCUCGCUGCUCUGCCUGGGUUCUCAGAGAUAAUCUCAUCACAGAGCCUGUUACUUCUCAAUACAGCCAGGAGAAUGGGAACUCCCCCAAUGGCAAGCCACUGAACGGUGCUCGGCAAGAGACCAAGAGAGUAAGCGCUCAAAAAAUACUAUCGUCAACAUCACGGCAGUCGGACCUCUGGAGCGGGAGUUUCCAGCAGCUCAAGGGAUUGGUCGCAAUCUGGAGAUGCAGACACUGUCCCUGUGUAGCGACGUCCUUGGUGUUCCAAGAUGAUGCGUCUGGCAGUGUUGCCAUAGUUAGGCUGGAGAAAAAUAUGCGGAGGAAGGUGAUUUUUCAAACGAGCUUCCCAACCCUGUCAUCAUCAAACAGCUGUUCGGCGUCCCUCAGCUCCAGCGCCGGGAAGCGACAUUACGGGAUCAUUUUUGCCUCCUUACUCCUCCCCUCGGGCCCCCCAGUUUUGAGUGGCCUCCGUGCCAAAUUCAAACUUGGAACUUGAAAGUUGACAGUUGCAGUAAUGAGGGGUUUUUUCAUUUUUUGUUUUGUUUUGAGCAAUAGCCACUCAAAUGAGGGAAGGAGGAUGGCAGAACAUGGAGGCACAUAACUAGACGGUGAAUCGUGUGGGAAAGGCACUACGUCCAACCUGAUUAUCCUUUAUCCCAGCCCUCAGUGUACUCCUUGGUGCUUAAUGAAUGCUCCAAUUAUUAGAAUCUUUAUGAAUUUUGUUUAAGGUGUUAAUCAUCGUUUAAGCCUAUGAUAAAAUAAUCCCCAAAUAAAAGGGAUGUUUCCAAGCGUAUAUUGUUGCCGUUUGGAAGGGUACAGCUAAUUCUCAUACCAUGGAAGAGUUGGCUCCUGAUGAUGAGAGUGAUAAUAAUGUUAAUUGAGGUGUUUAAGUGCUUUCUAUAUGUCAAGCACUGUACUAAACACUUGGGGUAGAGACAAGAUGAUCAGAUCCCACGUGGGGCUCACAACUUGAGUAGAAGGGAGAUCAGGGGUAGAAUCCACCUUUUGCAGAAGAGGGAACUGAGACACAGAGAAGUUAGGUGACUUGCUCAGUGUCACACAGCAGACAAGUAGCAGAGCUGAGUUUAGAACCCAGGACCUCUGACUCCCAGGCCCGUGCUUUUCCACUAGGCCAUGCUGCUUCUCCCAACAGUGCUCGGCACAUAGUAAGCGCUUAACAAAUACCAAC
rnacentral:lncRNA from 1 species